rnacentral:rRNA from 1 species
UUGGUCCAUUUAGAGGAAGUAAAAGUCGUAACAAGGUUUCCGUAGGUGAACCUGCGGAAGGAUCAUUAUUGAAUACACAAUGACUGUUGCUGGCUAGGUCAUUCUAGCAUGUGCACGUCUACACUCUCCACACCUGUGCACCAAUUGUAGAUAACCCUCGAAAGAGGAUUCUAUGUCUUUAAUAAUCUCAUCUAUUGUAUGUCCUUAGAAUGUAACAAAAAAAAUUAUACAACUUUCAGCAACGGAUCUCUUGGUUCUCGCAUCGAUGAAGAACGCAGCGAAUUGCGAUAAGUAAUGUGAAUUGCAGAUUUUCAGUGAAUCAUCGAAUCUUUGAACGCACCUUGCGCUCCUUGGUAUUCCGAGGAGCAUGCCUGUUUGAGUGUCAUUUAAUUAUCAACCAAAAGUCUUCAUUGGCUUUUGGCUUGGACUUGGGAUUUGCUGGCCUAGUCAGCUGUCCUUAAAAGCAUUAGCAAGUGAAGUAGACGUGCACGGCCUCUGACGUGAUAAUGAUCGUCGUGGGCUGGAAGCGUCAUAAUGAAGCUUGCUUAAAUUAAUCUCUAUUACCAUUUUGACCUCAAAUCAGGUAGGACUACCCGCUGAACUUAAGCAUAUCAAUAAGCGGAGGAAAAGAAACUAACAAGGAUUCCCCUAGUAACUGCGAGUGAAGAGGGAAAAGCUCAAAUUUUGAAUCUGGCAGUCGUUUUGGCUGUCCGAGUUGUAAUCUAGAGAAGUGUCUUCCGUGCUGGCCCGUGUACAAGUCUCCUGGAAGGGAGCGUCAUAGAGGGUGAGAAUCCCGUCUUUGACACGGACUACCAGUGCUAUGUGAUGCACUCUCGACGAGUCGAGUUGUUUGGGAAUGCAGCUCAAAAUGGGUGGUAAAUUCCAUCUAAAGCUAAAUACA